CGUGGGGCUUGUCCUGUCCCCGGAGUCUUGGGUCACAUGGCUCAUUGUGCCUGGCCUGCCAGGAGACAGGAGCAGAGCACCAGCAUGGACUCGGGAGUCAGCAUGCUGAGGAUCCUCUUCCUCCUGGAUGUAGGAGGAGCUCAAGUGCUGGCAACGGGCAAGCCCCCUGGGCCUGAAAUCGAUUUCAAGUAUGCCCUCAUCGGGACCGCUGUGGGCGUCGCCAUAACUGCCGGCUUCCUGGCCCUGAAGAUCUGCAUGAUCAGAAGGCACUUGUUUGACGACGACUCUUCCGACCUGAGAAGCCCGCCUGGGGGCCUCAGUGGUGAGGGAUGCGGUGCUCAGGCCUGGCUCUGCCCCACCCAGCAAGGCACCCAGGGCCACUCCCUGAUGCUGGCUACAGCAAGAAUGAACCCAUAAGGGCAGAGCCCAACAGGCUGAAAAGGAAGGGAGUGACAUCUCCGUAUCUCUGUCUCUCUCACUAUCCCUUUGCCUCGGUUUCUCUUUCUUCUGUCUCUCUAUUUGUGUUCCUUUUCCUGUCUCUCUAUCUCUGUCUCUCUGUCUUUCUCUGUCUGUUUCCCUCUGUACUUUUCCUUUCCAUUGCUCUUGGUAUUCCUGAGAAUCAUGUUUCCUGGAGAAAGGUGGGAGAGGAACUGAAAUUGGUGUCACACAGAAAUUUCUGUUCUCUCAUCCAAAUGAUGUGAUCAGAUGAACCCAGUCCCAGGAGGCAGCAAGUCCGGUCCUAAAUGUGGGUGGGAGGUGGGAGGUUCUGUUGACAAUGCCUGUGUGGGUCAAGAUGCAUUUUUUUUUUUCAUAAAUUGGGAAAGUCCUUCUCUGAACAGUACUGAGUAGCCCCUCAGAUAGAAACCAAGCUGGCUGACAUACACCGUGGCACAGCCCUCCGCCUCCUUGGCACCCGAAAUGCAGUAUUGAUUUGCACUCCUUCUCUCAGGGCGUCACCCCCAAACUCAUCCUCUGUUGUAUUAGACAGCUCAGCGCAAUGACAGCGCAGUUUUCCAUGGGGUGCUUCUGGGGAGGAAAGAACCCCACUGUCUUUCUGGAGGAUGUGAUUAUCAUCUUUGAGGUUAAGCAGAAGGGGCUGGUCUGGGCCAGGAGAGGAGGAAGCUUCCCAAAGUGCUGGCAUGUGCAUCACCCGAGGGGCUUAAUAGGUCAUGGGAGUUUGCUUAUCCUUGAGUUUGCUUAUCCUUUUGUAUCCCUGCAAUAAGGAGAGGGAACAGCCUCUUCACCACACAGCAGCCAGGCCCCAGAUCUCUUACCUGUGAAUGAGAGGACCCAGGAGGGAAAGGUGAAGGCUCUAGGGAACGCUCUACACCUCUCCUCACAGGACCUCCUUCCUAAUACCUGGCUUUCUCUGUUUAGACACUGACCCGCUAAAGAAGAGAGCCCCAAGAGAUGCACAGGUGAUUGAGCUGUAGGUGAGCAGCCGUGAGAAGAGGGGUCCAGCCCUGUGGACAAGGGCCUACAGUUACCAUCUCAGGAUGUUCUGCGUUUGAACACCCAAGUAAUGGUAAUAGACUUUCACAUGGACUGAAUAUUGGAGGAAAAUAAUAGAAGGAAUAGAAUCUACAGCGCCUUCGUCCUGAAGGAAAAUAUCAUUCCUCUUCUGCAAGAAGUGGACUACACAAAGGGAGGCUUGAGCACUUUCGCCUGCAGUAGGAAAAGAUGGACACCUCAAACUUCACCCUGUGUUAGAGCUGUUCAUGCUUCUGCAAGGGCAUGGUGUCCAUGUUCAUGGAACCUACCACAGAUAAUGGCUCAUGAAAAAGGGAAUGGGACCCAACAUAUAGCUUCCUACACACUGCCAUCUUAUUAACAGUUAGGCAGUACUUUGUUGAAUGAUUAGCUUCACCUUCUUAGCUGCCAGGAGAUCCCUUCUUAAAGAUUUGGGAGCCCUGAAACAUUGGGUCCCUGGGACAGUCUCCAUCCCUAUCGAUGAAUACUGGCCUCCUGGAGCAGAAAUGGCAGGCUGGGUUAGCACUGGAGGAAGGCCUUUGGUGUUCAUGGGAUGGGCCUGCUGCUCUCAGACAUUCAAAGGAUGGAGCUAAGGACGGACCAAAUGAGAAAGCAGAUGCCGUGCCUUGUAGAGGGCCAUGAAUGUAAGUUAUAAUUUUUCUCCUUAUAUAAUUAUUUUGUGGUUAUUAUUAGAAAGUGCAUGGCUGGUGCAUAAAAGACAUGACUGGUGGAGGCUCAGGAAAGCCACGUCAUUCUAAAAUUGCCACCAGGUUAAGGCCCCAUGAGCAUUUCUCUCCUUUGUAAUAUUAACCCUGUGUUUUGGGGGCCACAUCACGGAAUAUUCUUUGCCUUUCCAGUUUCCAGGAACUCUGUUGGAUUGGGCUGCCCUCCUUAUGUGUGAUGAAAGAUGAGCUAUAUUUCAGAACAAAGUGCUGUGUUGUCAUAAUUUGCCUGGACUCCCAGGGCAUCUCUUAUCUGACUUGAUAACGAUGCUGUUCAUUAGCAGCCUUUGUUAACUGAUAACCAAGAGUGGUAAUGUGAUACUCAUAAGCAAUUUUCUGUGUGUAAGAUAAAAUGAACCAUCUUGUAUGUGAUCUGCUAAUUGAUUUGCUUCCUUUAGCAGCAUUUUAAUUAAGACAUCUGGUUUGUGAAUGGCAGAAACACUUGUGACUGAAGGUGAAUGCUCCUGGACUCUCAGCCAUCAUUUUACCUUCUGUACACACAGCAAAACCAUGGUGUUCUCUCCCGGACCCCACCUCAUGACAUAUUUUCCCAACACCACCACUGGACUCUGGUUUUGUUUUAGCCCCACACAAGGUUUCCCAGGUGAAGAACAGAGAGGCUUAUGCUGAAGGCCAAUAUCCUCUCCUUGGGUCAUAAAGGCUGACAUCAUCUGGGAGGCAGAUGGGGAAGGGGCCCUGACAUUGAGGUCUCUCUGGCUUACUCUGCAUACCCAAGCUCAAUGGCUGCCUUCUGGAUGUCCUUCUAGGCCUAUUAGAAGAUCUCUGAAGCCCCCCUUGACAGCUCCUCUCCAUAAGAGCAGCUCCUGGGGACACAGGGUCCAAUGGGCAGUAGCUCUUGGAAGUGACUGAAAGGAGUCCUAACAAGUCAUUGGGUCUGCUGGCGCAGCCUCUUGAGUCAGGGCCAUUCCAGCAUGACUGCCUCACCCUGUAGUUUGACAAUAUGCUAGCAGAGGCCAGAGGCUGGACUAAGCCCCAUCCUCCCAGCCUUCUAAGUUCUGGGACCCCAGGACACAUACAGCUUCCCCCACCACAGCCCACAACAGCAUGGAGAAUACCAUGCCCGAAGGGAAGGGGACAAACACCAGGAGGAAGAGGCAUCCUGCAGGGGUGAAGCAGGUCACAGAUGGCUGCAGCCAGCCAGGAUCUAAUGAAGUGGCUGUGGUUUGAAGCCUCCAGGACUCCGUACGGGAAGGAGGGGAAGGUGAGAUGAGAAAGGGUCAUCUGGCAAGGCCAAUAAAUUAAAAAUCAUCUGUAGAAGUAUCAAUCUAUAUAUCUGUACAUUUAAAGUGUAUUUACCUCAAAUCUAUACAAAUUAAUACAUAAACAUGUAUAUGUA